UCCCAGCAGCCCCUGGGGCAGCCGAGGCGGUGCCGACAUGGCGGCCUGGGCGCGGGCGGUGCGGGGGCUGUUGCUGGACAUCAGCGGGGUGCUGUACGACAGCGGCGGGGAGGGCGGCGGGUUGCCCAUCGCCGGCUCGGCCGAGGCGGUGCGGAGGAUCAAAGCGUCCGGCCUGAAGCUGCGGUUCUGCACUAAUGAAACACAAGCGACCCGAGAGAAAUUUGUGAAGAAGCUCCAGGGCCUGGGCUUUGACAUCUCCGUGGCUGAAGUCACCGCUCCAGCACCAGCAGCCUGCCGCCUUCUGAAGGAGCGUGGGCUGAGGCCGCACCUGCUCGUGCACGAUGAUCUUGUCCCUGAAUUUGCUGAGAUUGAUAAAACAAACCCAAACUGCGUGGUUAUCGGAGAUGCAGCAGAAAACUUCUCCUAUGCAAACCUUAAUGAAGCUUUCAGAGUUUUGAUUGGAUUGGAGAAGCCUGUUUUGAUCUCCCUUGGAAAAGGACGCUACUAUAAAGAAACUGAUGGUCUGAAACUUGAUGUUGGAGCAUAUAUGAAGGCAUUAGAGUAUGCUUGUGAUGUUCAAGCUGAGGUAGUGGGAAAACCAGCAAAAGCGUUCUUUGAGUCAGCCCUAGCAGAAAUGGGAGUUCUGCCAGAGCAGGCCAUCAUGAUUGGAGAUGAUAUCGUGAGCGAUGUCGGAGGCGCCCAGCAGUGCGGGAUGAGGGCUGUGCAGGUGCGGACGGGGAAGUACAGGUGCAUCACACAAUAGCUGACUUUCAGCCUACACUUGUAUCCUCUGUGCUCCGGUCCGGAUGAUAGAUUGCGGUUGGAUGGCUUCUCUCCAGGAUGCUGACCAUCCUUUAUGCAUGAGCACAGGGCCAGCUCGUCCUCCUUGCAUCCAAAUUUAGGAAACGAGUGCAUUAGCAGCAGAUGAGACACGGAGCACCAACAUAUGAAACCUAUCUGCCAUAGGCCCUGUGAUGAAAACCACCCCCAGGUGAAGCCUGACGCCUAUGUGAACAACCUGGCCGAAGCGGUGGACACGAUCCUCAGCCAGAUGUAGGAGCAAUGGUGCUGCAGAGAGCUAAGGGACGAGGACGGGGCCUUGCACGUGGCAUGGCCACCGGCUGCUGCGUCCUCUCUGUGUCUGCUCUCUGUCUCCCAGGAGUGCAGAACACCCGUGCUUCUGAACGGUUCACUCAAGGUACUAAACCAAGGCACUAACCUCAACAGAGGGAACACUGAACUCUCUGCGUGCAUUUUGAGCUUCCUUCCCCUCGGUGCCAUCCAAGUGCCAGCACAGCCCUUGAGGGUGGCUUUUGGGACGAGCAUGUCUCUGAGGGGCAUGGAGAGCAACCCUGCCCUGUGGAGUUUGGCUGGGUACUGGUGUGCUUCUACAGUGCACUGGUGGUCAUCCUACGGGCAUCCCAAAAACCCUGUGGGACUGCCCGAGCACACUGGGCAAGCCUGUGGUUGCAUUUCCAUCCCGGUUUCCAGCACCUCUCUGGCGCUGGCCUGGGUUAGAGCACAGAAAUUCAGGAAAGCUAUGACAAAUUACUGAAUAAUUGUGUCAUCAUGUCGCUAAUAAACACAAUUCCAUGAAUCUAGCCCUGCUGUUGUAGUUGUGUUCAGUUGGAUCAGCACCCGCCAAGGGUCUGUACGGGACCUCCCCAGCAGGGGCCAAUGCCUUCUCCUUCCCCUCACAGGGCAGCCUGUGAGGUGAGCAGAGAGGGCUGCUUGCUCCAAACAGAAAGAACUGGAGAUUUGGGAUGGCUUCCCCACCAUCACCGUCUCUGGAUGGUGUUUGCAACCUUUUAAAGUCAAAAGCUUUUGAGCGCCGUCAGCAGCUCUGCACCCCUUGGAUUUUAGGCAAGACGUUGUGCCUUGGAGUGGAAUGGAAUGAGACCACGUGGAUUUCAACCUGCUUCUGGCCUCCUGAGGGACCUCGGAAAGGUUAUUUAAACACAACGUGCACGUGUGCGUACGUACAGCCUGCUGCCUGCAUCCAGCUACUGCUGUCUGAGCGCAGGAUGGGGGUCAAUGACAAUUCCAGAUGGGUUUCCAGCAGCCCACAGAGCUGAGGUGACCCCAGGCACCGACGCACGGCUCCGCGGUUCUGCACCGGGUGCGUUGCGGAGGCUGCACCCCUUGGGGACGGAGGGGGAAUGUGAGCUAGGAGGUCAAUGGCAAUAAAAUAAACUACAUCUGGGAAAAUGA